AACGAACGCUGGCGGCAGGCCUAACACAUGCAAGUCGAGCGGACCCUUCGGGGUUAGCGGCGGACGGGUGAGUAACGCGUGGGAAUAUGCCCUUCUCUACGGAAUAGUCCUGGGAAACUGGGGGUAAUACCGUAUACGCCCUUUGGGGGAAAGAUUUAUCGGGGAAGGAUUAGCCCGCGUUGGAUUAGGUAGUUGGUGGGGUAAUGGCCUACCAAGCCGACGAUCCAUAGCUGGUUUGAGAGGAUGAUCAGGCACACUGGGACUGAGACACGGCCCAGACUCCUACGGGAGGCAGCAGUGGGGAAUCUUAGACAAUGGGGGCAAACCUGAUCUAGCCAUGCCGCGUGAGUGAUGAAGGCCUUAGGGUUGUAAAGCUCUUUCAGCUGGGAAGAUAAUGACGGUACCAGCAGAAGAAGCCCCGGCUAACUCCGUG
rnacentral:rRNA from 1 species